rnacentral:lncRNA from 1 species
UAUUAUUGAAUUUGCUUACAAUAGAACUAUCCAUUCUUCUACAGGAAUGUCUCCUUGUGAGGUUGUUUAUGGCUUUAAUCCCUUUACACCACUUGAUUUAUUACCAUUGCCAACUAAUGAUAUUGCUAAUCUUGAUGGUAGAACAAAGUCUGAGAUGAUGAAAAAAAUUCAUGAGCAAACAAAGCUUGCAAUUGAGAAGAAAAAUAAGCAAACUGCUUUGAGAAAGAAUAAGGGUCGAAAACAAGUUAUUUUUAAACCUGGAGAUUUAGUUUGGGUUCAUUUUAGAAAGGAGAGAUUUCCUUCCAAAAGGAAGUCAAAGCUGCAUUCUAGAGGAGAUGGCCUCUUUCAAGUCCUUGAAAGUAGGGGUGUUUAUUGGGUGGAUUGGGCGGCUUUUACUCUUAACGGUUUGGCUUAACGGUUAUCGGCUUUUAAAUGUANNNNNNNNNNNNNNNNAAUCAUCUAGAUCCCGAGAUUAAAAAUGCUUAGAAGUAGAAAUAAACUUUUGUUAAUCAUUUUUAAGGGUUUUAGUUUUUUUAUAUUUAAUAUAUAUAAUAUUCUUAACGGGUUAACGGAUUAGCUGUUAAGAAAAUUGAAUAAUCCAUCCCCAGACCGAUAAGCCGUUAAUAAAAAAAAUUCAAUCCGUUCCCCGUCCGUUAAGCCGUUAAGCCGUUAAGCUUCGGUUUGGAUUGGUUUUCGGUUUCGGAUCGGUUUCGAACACCCCUACUUGAAAGGAUUGGAGACAAUGCUUACAAGCUGGACCUUCCUGGUGAGUAUCAAGUAAGUGCUACAUCCAAUGUUGCUGACAUAUCUUUGUUUGAUGUAGGAUCGAAUUCGGGGACGAAUUCUUUUCAAGGUGAGAAUGAUAGCAUCAAGGACAAGGAUAUAAUUAAGGACAAUGACAGAGUUUUGAAAGUUCCAAGGCCAUUUACUAGAUCACAAGCUAAAGAGUUGCAAACUAAGGUUACUGGACUUCAAUGGCAAAUAAAGAAGCUUUUAAUUGUAGAGGAAGAGCUCAAGCCCAAAGGAGAUGAAUUAUCCAAGUUUUAUAAUUAUUUGGUGGUCCAAAUUGAAAUCCAAGAUAAAGAAGAUUGUGUCACCAAAUCAGCCCUUCAAGUCCAUGAAAAGGGCUCAAAAUGACCUUAAAAGAGGUCCAAAAGGGGUGUUUCAAAAGGAGUCCAAUUGGAGUCCAAAUCAAUGGCCCAAACUAGUAUUUUGAAGCCCAAAUGUGCCCCAAAAGAAAUUGGCCGCCCCCACCUAAUUUUGAUUGCUUUUGUUAACCCUAAUGAGCCACAUACCUAAGUUUGAUGGCUAUUGUGACCCCUAACAGCCCCCUACCUAAUUUCGAUGACUUUUUAGCAACCCCUACAUUAUUUUAAGGGGUUUUUACUCUUAUAAAUAGGGAGUUCUUAUUCAUAAGAUACAACAUUAUUGAUUAAGUAUAUCAUACUUUGAGAGUUCUUUUGAACNNNNNNNNNNNNNNNNNNNNNNNNNNNNNNNNNNNNNNNNNNNNNNNNNNNNNNNNNNNNNNNNNNNNNNNNNNNNNNNNNNNNNNNNNNNNNNNNNNNNNNNNNNNNNNNNNNNNNNNNNNNNNNNNNNNNNNNNNNNNNNNNNNNNNNNNNNGAUUUCUUCUCUUUUAUGAUACAACCUUUACUAAUUCAUAGUUCAAGGUAGUAAGAUUUCUUCUCUUUUAUGAUAUCUUUGAUUUCCUUUAUGGUAUUCUUAGAAGACGAUUAAUACUAGUUAUUUUCUCCCAUAAAUUAAGACGUUGUUACUUCGAUCUUGUCAAGGCUAUAGAACUUGCGUUCUUGGAAUUCUUUCCCUGAAUUUUCCCAUAUCCUUUAUUUUCAUAUGUUUAAUUCUAGUUGUUCAAUCCUUGUUGUUAUUGCUUCCUCAUUUACUUCUCAAAUUCUUACUCUAGUUUGGAUUCUCGAUUUAGUUGUUAUCACAAGUCACUGGUUUAAAUCCUGAAUCGAGGAAAAGAUUAACUCUAUUUUACAUUCCGCGAACAUAGAAAUCAGGAUAAGAAAUUAUGUUAAACAGGGAGAAUGUGUUAGGCAUUCCCGAGUUUCAUGGUUCUAGCAUGGUCGCUCAACUGUUAUUAUUGGCCUAAUUAUCCGAUUUUAAAACACUUUUAAACCUAUGUGCAUAUUAACUUUUAAAUCGCUUUUAACCAGUUUAAGGAAGAUUUCAACAUCAUCUAAAAUACAUCUUUAGACCGUGCCACAUGGAAUGCAUCCGCAGUCCGAGACACAUUUUAUUUAACGUUGUUAAGAUUUGAAUUUGGGUCACAUGAAAUGCGCAACCGAGUUUAGGAAGGUAAUUUUUAAAAAUAGCGCGCCUAAAGCAACUACGCACUUUUAACUUUGCGAGGGGCAUAGAAAAUUCAGCUAAACUGUACGCCUUGAUUUCUAAAGGUUCAAGAUCAAUUAAAUGAGAGCACAUGGAUUUUGAGAUUUUAUUUGUCAUGACACGCCUUAAAUUAUUCCAAAGGGCUUUACUCAAUUAAAACAAACUACGGAUAUUCAAAAUUGUCUUCUAAACUACUUUGAGAUUAUUGUGAAGACCACGAAUUACGAGUCAUUUGUGGAAAUGGGUUAGCCAUUGAUUCAGUAACAAAUUCAAAGCCCUACGAUACGUGAACAAUUGCGCAUGGCGUGGGUAAUUGCAAUAGUACUGCACCAGAACAAGAAGUUGUUUCAUAUGAUAAAAAAAAUGAAAACAGUCUGAAAAGUUAAUGACGAGUGCCUGGAAGUAAGGCCAACCAUAAAAUAGCACUAAAAAAACGUCCUUUCUCCAAUUAAAAUACUAUGGAAUGUAUAAGUUCUAAAUUAAAAGCAAUAUUAGUGUAACCUUGAAGUUAUGGAAAACCCCUUUAUAGAUCUACUCAGUAUAGUACUUAGUAACAUUCUGGCAUGGAGAAUGUACUCUUUCACAACACUACUAAAACCUUAGUCAAAUCCAAUUUUAAAGUUGACACGAGGGCAUAGAGAUACUAUCAUCUGGAGAGAAAUUUAGCCAACUUUCCCAUGGGUUUCUGACCACAAGACUUAAAAGGAGUCAAAAAUUAUGAUCGUGGCAUCACAGUAGCUGUGGUCCCAAACAAAAAUGGCAAAUCAUUUCCAUUAUUUCUUCAUUUACGGUGCAUCUUCCCCAAGUUAAAAUGUGAAGAAAACUCGUAACUAAACCAAACAAUUAUUUUCUUGUGAACACAAUACUGAUGAAACUAUUCACAUAAAAACGGAGUUGGUAAGAUGUUAAAACAUUCCACAAGAAUAGAGCAACAAAUAGCUAGUUCGACAUUUAUCGAAAUAGAGUGAAGACUAAUACUUAAAAAAACAAUUCAAUAUCCAAAAGAUAAGAAAGAAAUGGACCUGAAAACUAAGUGAUUCAAUCAAUUCAAAUGUCCAGCAAUUCUACGGAUGGAAACAAAAGACAAUUGCGACCGGAAUCCGACACGACGAUCCUCAAACCGGCAACCUCGAGCACCAAACUAUUUCCCGGAUCUGAGAUUGACCGGACAGCCUCAAAAGGAUAGGGAUAUGAAAGCAAAAACGAACAGAACUCAGGACCUCUCCUUUGGGUAGAAGAACAAGAACAACUCUGUGUAUGUGUCUGUUUCGUGUGUCUGUCCGUAUGAGUUCCAGCGAGUGGAUGGUGAAGGCUGGGUGUGUGUGUUUUGGUGCCGCGACUGAAGUUAGGUGGCUGGUUUGAUGAGAGUAGGAGUCGAAGUGUGGUCUGAUUCGUCGGUUGUCGAAGAGAGCAGGCGUCAAUGGAGGUUUCCAAGUUGAAGUGAGAAGUGUAGGGGCUAGGGUCUUUUUUGGUUAGUAGCAGUAACGAUGGAGGGGGAAGAUGACUUGAAUGGGGUGUGUUGAGGGUGGUCGUUUGGUGGCGGAAGGCUGGCAGCGGCGCUGCUACAUGAAGAGGACGACCUGGGAGAAUUUUUCAGGUCUUGUCUCUCGUCUUCUGUAUAUCUCUAGGCUUUAUUUUUUGUUAUUAGGAUUCUAGGUUAGUUUAAGAAGGGGUCAGGGUCUUGGGCUCGGGUCGACCCCGUUUGGGCUAGAUUGGGAGAACAUUUGGGCUUUUAAAAUGGUUUGACC